rnacentral:rRNA from 1 species
CAGCCACAACAGCCCGCUGGCUCGCACGGGGUGCUCUUUACCGAGUGUCCCGCGUGGCCGGCAGAGUUUACUUUGAAAAAAUUAGAGUGCUCAAAGCAGGCAACACUGACGGCCUGAAUGCCUAUGCAUGGAAUAAUGGAAUAGGACCUCGGUUCUAUUUUGUCGGUUUUCUGAACCCGAGGUAAUGACUAAUAGGAACAGGCGGGGGCAUUCGUAUUGCGACGCUAGAGGUGAAAUUCUUGGACCGUCGCAAGACGAACCACUGCGAAAGCAUUUGCCAAGGAUGUUUUCAUUAAUCAAGAACGAAAGUUAGAGGUUCGAAGGCGAUCAGAUACCGCCCUAGUUCUAACCAUAAACGAUGCUGACCAGCGAUCCGCCGGCGUUAUUCCCAUGACCCGGCGGGCAGCUUCCGGGAAACCAAAGUCUUUGGGUUCCGGGGGAAGUAUGGUUGCAAAGCUGAAACUUAAAGGAAUUGACGGAAGGGCACCACCAGGAGUGGAGCCUGCGGCUUAAUUUGACUCAACACGGGGAACCUCACCAGGCCCAGACACCGGAAGGAUUGACAGAUUGAGAGCUCUUUCUCGAUUCGGUGGGUGGUGGUGCAUGGCCGUUCUUAGUUGGUGGAGCGAUUUGUCUGGUUAAUUCCGAUAAC